rnacentral:rRNA from 1 species
GAUGAACGCUGGCGGCGUGCCUAAUACAUGCAAGUCGAGCGAAUGGAUUAAGAGCUUGCUCUUAUGAAGUUAGCGGCGGACGGGUGAGUAACACGUGGGUAACCUGCCCAUAAGACUGGGAUAACUCCGGGAAACCGGGGCUAAUACCGGAUAACAUUUUGAACCGCAUGGUUAGAAAUUGAAAGGCGGCUUCGGCUGUCACUUAUGGAUGGACCCGCGUCGCAUUAGCUAGUUGGUGAGGUAACGGCUCACCAAGGCAACGAUGCGUAGCCGGCGUGAAGGGGUGAUCGGACAGACUGGGACUGAGACAGGGCCCAGACUCCUACGGGAGGCAGCAGGAGGGAAUCUUCCGCAAUGGACGAAAGUCUGACGGAGCAACGCCGCGUGAGUGAUGAAGGCUUUCGGGUCGUAAAACUCUGUUGUUAGGGAAGAACAAGUGCUAGUUGAAUAAGCUGGCACCUUGACGGUACCUAACCAGAAAGCCACGGCUAACUACGUGCCAGCCGCCGCGGUAA